CCUAGCCGGGACACCUCGGCUCGGAGGGCGGGGACACAGCACCCUCUCGGCCUCAGAGGUCCAGGCUCCCGCUAUCAGGGACCGAAGGGACUCCUGGAAAAGAAAAAAAAAAAUCCGUGGCGCCACCUAGCCGGGCCACCUCGGCUCGGAGGCCGGGGACACAGCACCCUCUCGGCCUCAAAAGUGUCUAUGGUCCCGCUGGCUGGGACCGAAGGGACUCCUGGAAAAGAAAAAAAAAAAAAACUCCGUGGCGCCCCCUAGCCGGGCCACCUCGGCUCGGAGGCCGGGGACACAGCACCCUCUCGGCCUCAGAGGUCCAGGCUCCCGCUAUCAGGGACCGAAGGGACUCCUGGAAAAGAAAAAAAAAAAAAAAAAAACUCCGUGGCGCCCCCUAGCCGGGCCACCUCGGCUCGGAGGCCGGGGACACAGCACCCUCUCGGCCUCAGAGGUCCAGGCUCCCGCUAUCAGGGACCGAAGGGACUCCUGGAAAAGAAAAAAAAAAAAAAAAAAACUCCGUGGCGCCCCCUAGCCGGGCCACCUCGGCUCGGAGGCCGGGGACACAGCACCCUCUCGGCCUCAGAGGUCCAGGCUCCCGCUAUCAGGGACCGAAGGGACUCCUGGAAAAGAAAAAAAAAAAUCCGUGGCGCCCCCUAGCCGGGCCACCUCGGCUCGGAGGCCGGGGACACAGCACCCUCUCGGCCUCAAAAGUGUCUAUGGUCCCGCUGGCUGGGACCGAAGGGACUCCUGGAAAAGAAAAAAAAAAAAAAAAACUCCGUGGCGCCCCCUAGCCGGGCCACCUCGGCUCGGAGGCCGGGGACACAGCACCCUCUCGGCCUCAAAAGUGUCUAUGGUCCCGCUGGCUGGGACCGGAGAGGAGGGAAGAAAUAAAAAAAA
rnacentral:sRNA from 1 species